rnacentral:lncRNA from 1 species
GCAACAUUUUGUGAUGACGUCACAACAGCUGUAGGUACGUGCCAUUUUUCGCCAUUUUAUGCGCUGUGUUUUGUGGUACUUCUGCUGUCAAGUAGCUGUUUAUGAGAUCGUAUUUUGUGUUUUGCGGAUAAAUUACGAGGAUUUGAUAUGCUAAAUCGAAGUUGAAGUUGAAAAAAGUGUUAUUCAACAUGUCCGUGUAUUGUAUUGUACAGUGUGGUGCCAGAAAGGACAGAAAUCAACCGUAUUUGUCACUUCAUAGGCCAUCUUUCAAUCCAAAAUUGUCGACUGGAUUUACUGAAACAGGUGAUAUUGGAAAACUAAUCCACAGCUGCAACGUCGUCUGUGCUGCCAUUGCCCGUACGUCUGUCUCAUAAGUCAGUACAUGAAAAGUCUGUUCAAGAAGACGCGAUGAAAAAAUUAAAAGUUAGCCAAUUUGAAGAAUAUUAUGGAAGAUCUGCAGAAUAAAAAUCAAAUAAUAAAGGGCAAAGUGUAUUGAUGGAAGAAUUGGCAGGACCGCAAGACUUUUUGAAAAGGCAGGUAAACAAAUUUCAAGGUUUACCUUUGCCAAAAAAGUAU